UACGUGAGGGGCAAGCGUUGUCCGGAUUUAUUGGGCGUAAAGAGCGUGUAGGCGGCCUGACAGGUCUGCUGUGAAAACUCGAGGCUCAACCUCGAGAUGUCGGCGGAAACCGUCUGGCUAGAGUCCGGAAGAGGAGAGUGGAAUUCCUGGUGUAGCGGUGAAAUGCGCAGAUAUCAGGAAGAACACCCGUGGCGAAGGCGGCUCUCUGGGACGGUACUGACGCUGAGACGCGAAAGCGUGGGGAGCGAACAGG
rnacentral:rRNA from 1 species